CAUUAAAAAGUUGUAAGCCACAUAUUUAUUGAAGAAGUCGCAAAAUCACUCUCUCCGUAAAGUGAGCGCUCAAACUCUCUGGCUGUGCUGUUUCAAUCAAAUGAGGCGACCCUCGGAACUGCCGCCCAAUGAAAUGCAAUCAAAGAGACGAUAUUUCCAUAAUAAAAAGGAAAAAGUCAUCAAUGGCCUGUCACAUAUGCACUCACACGCACCGAUCGUGACAACGCAUCGCUUUUCAUUUGGCUCGUCGUUCAUUUCUCAUCGGCAAUGAUGCAGAUUUCUUGUUUCCAUUAUGAGUAGUUAAUUUUUUUUGUUGUUGUUCGUGAUCAGUUGUUUCCUACCCGCAACUAUUCGAGCUGUCAUAUUGUGUGGCAUUCGGUUUAUAGGAUAUUGAAGAUGCUGUUUUGCUUAUCACCAUCGGCAACAAUCACUCAACAACAACAACAACCUGCACUUCGAAAAUGACCGAUAUUU